AACGAACGCUGGCGGCGUGCCUAACACAUGCAAGUCGAGGGAGAAAGGGAGCUUCGGCUCCCGAGUAAACCGGCGCACGGGUGAGUAAUACGUAGGUAACGUACCUUCGAGUCUGGGAUAACCAGUCGAAAGACUGGCUAAUACCGGAUACGACCGAGGGGGCUUCGGCUCUCACGGUGAAAGAUGGCCUCUGCUUGCACGCUAUCACUCGAGGAGCGGCCUGCGCACCAUUAGCUAGUUGGUGAGGUAACGGCUCACCAAGGCUGAGAUGGUUAGCUGGUCUGAGAGGAUGGCCAGCCACACUGGGACUGAGACACGGCCCAGACUCCUACGGGAGGCAGCAGUGGGGAAUAUUGCGCAAUGGGCGAAAGCCUGACGCAGCGACGCCGCGUGGGUGAUGAAGGCC
rnacentral:rRNA from 1 species